rnacentral:rRNA from 1 species
UGCAGUCGAACGGUGAAGCCCAGCUUGCUGGGUGGAUCAGUGGCGAACGGGUGAGUAACACGUGAGCAACCUGCCCUCCACUUCGGGAUAAGCCUUGGAAACGGGGUCUAAUACCGGAUAUGAGCUCGCAUCGCAUGGUGUGGGUUGGAAAGUUUUUCGGUGGGGGAUGGGCUCGCGGCCUAUCAGCUUGUUGGUGGGGUGAUGGCCUACCAAGGCGUCGACGGGUAGCCGGCCUGAGAGGGCGACCGGCCACACUGGGACUGAGACACGGCCCAGACUCCUACGGGAGGCAGCAGUGGGGAAUAUUGCACAAUGGGCGCAAGCCUGAUGCAGCGACGCCGCGUGAGGGAUGACGGCCUUCGGGUUGUAAACCUCUUUCAGCAGGGAAGAAGCGCAAGUGACGGUACCUGCAGAAGAAGCGCCGGCUAACUACGUGCCAGCAGCCGCGGUAAUACGUAGGGCGCAAGCGUUGUCCGGAAUUAUUGGGCGUAAAGAGCUCGUAGGCGGUCUGUCGCGUCUGGUGUGAAAUCCCGAGGCUCAACCUCGGGCUUGCAUCGGGUACGGGCAGACUAGAGUGCGGUAGGGGAGACUGGAAUUCCUGGUGUAGCGGUGGAAUGCGCAGAUAUCAGGAGGAACACCGAUGGCGAAGGCAGGUCUCUGGGCCGCAACUGACGCUGAGGAGCGAAAGCAUGGGGAGCGAACAGGAUUAGAUACCCUGGUAGUCCAUGCCGUAAACGUUGGGCACUAGGUGUGGGGCUCAUUCCACGAGUUCCGUGCCGCAGCUAACGCAUUAAGUGCCCCGCCUGGGGAGUACGGCCGCAAGGCUAAAACUCAAAGGAAUUGACGGGGGCCCGCACAAGCGGCGGAGCAUGCGGAUUAAUUCGAUGCAACGCGAAGAACCUUACCAAGGCUUGACAUGUACGAGAAAGCCCCCGAGACGGGGUUCUCUUUGGACACUCGUACACAGGUGGUGCAUGGUUGUCGUCAGCUCGUGUCGUGAGAUGUUGGGUUAAGUCCCGCAACGAGCGCAACCCUCGUCCUAUGUUGCCAGCGGGUUAUGCCGGGGACUCAUGGGAGACUGCCGGGGUCAACUCGGAGGAAGGUGGGGAUGACGUCAAAUCAUCAUGCCCCUUAUGUCUUGGGCUUCACGCAUGCUACAAUGGCCGGUACAGAGGGCUGCGAUACCGUAAGGUGGAGCGAAUCCCAAAAAGCCGGUCUCAGUUCGGAUUGGGGUCUGCAACUCGACCCCA